CACGUAGGGUCCGAGCGUUGUCCGGAAUUACUGGGCGUAAAGCGUGCGCAGGCGGUUGGGUCAGUCGCUGGUGAAAGCCCCACGCUCAACGUGGGAAUGGCCAACGAGACGGCCCAACUGGAGGCAGGGAGAGGCCGGUGGAAUUCCGGGUGUAGUGGUGAAAUGCGUAGAGAUCCGGAGGAACACCGGAGGCGAAGGCGGCCGGCUGGACCUGACCUGGACGCUGAGGCACGAAGGCGUGGGGAGCGAACGGG
rnacentral:rRNA from 1 species